ACUUACCGGUACUCGCGAAUGCAUCNAGAUUAUAGUUUGAUCAUGGCUCAGAUUGAACCGCUGGCGUGCAGGCCUAACACAUGCAAGUCGAGCGGAUGAGUGGAGCUUGCUCCAUGAUUCAGCGGCGGACGGGUGAGUAAUGCCUAGGAAUCUGCCUGGUAGUGGGGGGCAACGUUUCGAAAGGAACGCUAAUACCGCAUACGUCCUACGGGAGAAAGCAGGGGACCUUCGGGCCUUGCGCUAUCAGAUGAGCCUAGUGUCGGAUUAGCUAGUUGGUGGGGUAAAGGCCUACCAAGGCGACGAUCCGUAACUGGUCUGAGAGGAUGAUCAGUCACACUGGAACUGAGCCAGGAUCAAACUCUA
rnacentral:rRNA from 1 species